CUUGUUAUUUUUGUUAUUCUUGUAGGUGCUGAAACUUAAGUUGGAGCUGAUAGCUCAUCUGACUCGCAAUGCCAAGUUCUCCAAAAAAUGUGCAGAGUUUGUGUUAACAGAUAUUGUGGAUAAACUUGGAGAUGCUAAGAAUGGUGCAGCAGCCAAAGACUGUUUGACUGGAAUGUCUGAGGCUGUAGGCUUGGACUACAUCAGUCUAGAGGUUAUGACCAGAGCCUUUGAACAAAAAAAUCCUAAAAAUCAGCAGGAGGCUUUGACCUGGCUGACAACAGCCAUACAGGAGUUUGGUCUGAGACUAAAUGUCAAAGCCUUAUUGGCAACUAUCAAUAAAUCCCUGGCUGCCACUAAUCCAGUA
rnacentral:sRNA from 1 species